UCUAUGUGGUGAGAAACCAGGACCUACCAUUGUUCAUGUGUCUGCGCUUGGAAGAAGAGUAUUAUUCAGCUGCACACUAGCCUGGAGAUGCCUGCAGUCCUGCCUAACAGCUGAACUAAAACCUCAUGAGGAACUCAGAGUCAGCUAAGCUGUGGCCAUAUAGCUCUCACACGAACACGAGACUGUUCCCGUUUGCAACUUCAGAUUUUAGUCCAAGUCCCAGAAUGCUGUUGCAGGCUGGAUUUGACUAGAAUAGCAAAAGCACUACAACUAUUAUGCAAAUAAGGAGUUUUGUGUAGAAUUAGGCUUUCCACCAGUGUGGAGGGAGCUGAAAUUCUGAAGAACCAGGAAGACUGCAGCCAGAAUAAGGUGCUGUAACA